CACCUGGGGAGUACGACCGCAAGGUUGAAACUCAAAGGAAUUGACGGGGGCCCGCACAAGCAGUGGAGUAUGUGGUUUAAUUCGACGCAACGCGAAGAACCUUACCAAGUCUUGACAUCCUGCGACGCACAUAGAAAUAUGUGUUUCCUUCGGGACGCAGAGACAGGUGGUGCAUGGUUGUCGUCAGCUCGUGUCGUGAGAUGUUGGGUUAAGUCCCGCAACGAGCGCAACCCUUAUGGUCAGUUACUACGCAAGAGGACUCUGGCCAGA
rnacentral:rRNA from 1 species